UACGUAGGGUGCGAGCGUUGUCCGGAAUUAUUGGGCGUAAAGAGCUUGUAGGUGGUUUGUCGCGUCUGCUGUGAAAAUCCGAGGCUCAACCCUGGACCUGCAUUCGAUACGGGCAGACUAGAGUUCGGCAGGGGAGACUGGAAUUCCUGGUGUAGCGGUGAAAAUGCGCAGAUAUCAGGAGGAACACCGGUGGCGAAGGCGGGGUCUCUGGGGCCGAAAAACUGGACGCCUGGAGGAAG
rnacentral:rRNA from 1 species